rnacentral:rRNA from 1 species
ACUCACCUGCCGAAGCAACUAGCUCUGAAAAUGGAUGGCGCUUGAGCAUCACGCCUAUACCCAACCACCGAAGCAGAACUGGUCUCCAGGGCCUACAAGUUUCGGUGAGUAGGAGGGGCGCGGCAGUGUGCGCAGAAGGGAUUGGGCGUGAGCCUGCCUGGAGCCGCUGUCGGUGCAGAUCUUGGUGGUAGUAGCAAAUACUCGAGCGAUACCCUGGAGGUUUGAUGUGGAGAAGGGUUCCAUGUGAACAGCCUUUGCACAUGGGUCAGUCGAUCCUAAGCCGCAGGAGAAAUCCGGGUUUGGCGAAAUGGGCAGUCUCUUUACAAAUAAACAAAAAAUUGUGAAAUUAUGUCUGCCGAUCCUAGGCGAAAGGGAAUCCGGUACUGAUUCCGGAACCUGGUCACGGAUAACCUCUCAUUUGAGAGGGUGCUUGGGGUCCUCGUGAUCUACACCGUAAGGUGGCUAAACUCGGGGAAGUCGGCCGCUGUCCCGGGCAGAGUUGUCUGUUCUGUAUAAGGGCCCGGAUCCCUGGAAUCGCUUUGCGCGGAGAGAGGGAACUGGUUUGUUUUUGCCCGAAGAGCCCCGCAGUUCUCGCGGUGGUCCGUUGGAUGGUGGUCGAACCAUGAAAACUCGAGAGAGGGCGUACAAAUUUCGUGCCAGGCCGUACCGAUAUCCGCAGCAGGUCUCCAAGGUGAGCAGCCUCUAGUCGAUAGACACAAUGUAGGUAAGGGAAGUCGGCAAGUUAGAUCCGUAACUUCGGGAUAAGGAUUGGCUC